GCUCCGGGCCACAGGGAAGAUCAUGCACAGGAGGGGGGCUGCUCGCUGGUGUCGUCGCCUCCAGUCAGGGGCCAAGCUGAGUGGGUGCCUGCUUGUCUGGAUCCUAAGGGUGUCUGCAGGAGACAAGGAGAAUUCCCGAGGAAAGCAUGGGGACAGAGGAAGGAGCUCCAGGAAUGGUUGGCAGGGCAAUUGGGCAAGCUGUACCGAAGCCGGGUGCCCAGAGGGACUUGCAACCUGGAAGGGGGCGUGUGGGGGCGCUGCCGUGAAGAUGAAUGAGGGAAGAGGCUUUUGAUGCCAGCAGAAGGGAAAACGCCCCGGAGGAGCUGCCGAAUGCUUUUAGUUCCCCAGCAGGAACAAGAAGCCGGUGCUCAGAUCCCAAGGCUGCGCAACGUUCCCAGCUUUGACCGCUUCCGCCCCACUUGCGCGGAAUACGCACAGGAGGCCCAGCAGCCAAGCAGAGCUGGGCUCUGGGGAAGAACCGAAUGGGAAUAAGGCCACCCCGGAAAGCCAAGUCCGAGUUCCAAUUCUUGAAGAGACCGCGGCGGGCAAGGUUGUGACAUUGGCCCUGGCGACUGUUUUCCCAUAAGCUGCUGUUUCUCAAGAGCUCCACAGCGCGGGGCCAUCUUCAGAAAACACUCUUCGGCGUGUAUUUCCUUUAAUCGUCCAUCCGGAGCUCCACGGCGGCUAAUGCGCGAGGCCAAAAAUGUUUGGAGGAAGAAAAACAAAGGCAGGAAGUGGCGGCGGCCUGACGGUGCGUGUGUGUCUGUAAAGAAGGGAGGGAGCCGGUUCAAUCUCUCCUUGUUUUUCCGAACUUCAAGUUCUAGGCAGAUCUCCGCCGGGCUGGCCCUGUCUCUCCCGGCGCAGCUUUUGGAGGUGGCCACCCAGAGAGAAGGCCGGCGCCCGCGCCAGCCUUGUCAGGCGGAAAUGGCUAACAAAAUUUGGUCAACAAAACUGGCCAAGCCUUUCUGAGGCUUCUUCUGGUUUGUUCUAAAGUUGCGGGGGUGGGGGCGGUGCUGCGCAUCGCUUCCCGGACCCUCUUUGGAGGGCUGACUGCCACCGUCUGAGGAUGGUGGUUAGUGCAACCCGCGCUCCACCCGCCUUCCCAGGCGGGAUAUCAGAAUAAAGUCUGUCCAGGCGCCUCUGCCGCAUCYGCUUCUUCUUGUAGUAGGGGAGGUCUGGGCAGCGGCGAGCCUCUCCACAAAGCCUGGGCGGGGUGGCCUCGGGGCAGUCAUUGCGCAGUUGGGCAAUUGGAAGCCCGUUACCCCGGUUGUUGUGCCUGGGGCAUUUCCAACACAUUCAAGGGACAGGUGCUGCAAGAACCAUCACUUGACAGUCAGCUUAACACCUUCUCACUCCAAGGGAGGAUAGAGCUGUGGGGCAGAGAGCACCUCUGGUCUCCAAGCUUCCUAACCCCAACUGGCAAGGCUGUCCUCGCUAUCCUUGGGGUUGGCUUGGGAUGCUCCCUGGCUUGGGAUGCUCCCUGUCCCCUGACUCUGAAAAUCUGAAGUCUAUACUUGCAGCCCUUUGAAUGCAAGCGAGUGGUCCAUAGGAUCCACAGUGUGAAUGUCAAACCAAGCUGCCCCCACUCAACACAUUCCUUCUCAGUCCGGUCUUGUUCUCUUGCAGUUCCUGCUAGCUCUUCUCCUAUCCUGCCUCUUUCCAGCCAGUCUUCCCUUCUCAGUUCUCCUGCUUUUUUCUGAUGUGUUUUCUAGGCUGUGCAAGAGCUAAGAUGCCACUGGAGGGCACUUAGUAUGCAGGCAUAGAGAGAGGGGUCUAUUAGAUUUCCCACCUCCCCUUUCCAGAUCUGUACUGGGUCUCUCACCUCCUUCUUUGGACUACUCCUUCUCAAAUCCCUACUAUGUCUGCUUUCUUUUUCUCACUCCCUCCUUCACCAACACUUUUCUUCUGGGGACCCAGCUCCUGCUUUUCUGGCCUCCGCAAUCUCCAACGGUAGCUGACCUGGGAAGGGUUGGACACCUUUGUCAGACCAAAUCUCAUUCCUAAUUGUCUACAGUUGUUUCUUAAUGGAUUUCUUAGGGCACCUUUAAUAUUUUGCCUCUUCUUGCUGACAUAAGCUCUUACUUUCUUUUGUCCCAAAUGUUGACUGUUUUGAAAAAGCUGAAGAGAAGAUUAUUGCUACCCUGAUGACCAUAUUGCACACAGGUGCAAGAACCAGCCAGGAGGAUGAAGGUGGAAAUGGCCACAGAGCUCUAGACAGGACUGAAGGCCAGGCCUCUAUUUGGAGAAUCUUUCCUUCCAAGUAGGAGUUGUCCUUGGGGUUACUGUCCUUGGUAGUGGGCUAGGGAGAUGGAUUGAAUGGAAUGGCCCAAGAGAUCUCUAAG